GUGCAGAGUUUGCCAUACAGUAGGCACUCAGUAUAUAGCUACGGAAUUGCAUGAGCCUUUUUCAAGAGAAAUAUUCUAUUUUGUGUGACAAAAGAAGGGACAUAAAGUAGACUACAUAGAUCAUGUUGGCUACUUCAGUUUCUUUCUCUUCUUCUUCUUUUUAAAUAAACACUAAUAAAACAGGAUUGAUAUCUCUUGAAAGUUCUAGUGAAGCAAGGAGGUUUUCCAGAAGGUGGUUGGAUCCCUUUAUUAAAAGCAUCUGUGCCACGGCCACUGGCAGAAGCCCAAACAUCCUGAAGUGGAUGGCUCUGGGAAAUCAGAAAGAUAGAACACAGCCAAAUUCUAAGAUGGAACAAAUCGUAAAGUCAUACUGCAUCUUAAUUUGAUGACCCAUGGGAAAGGUUUUUCUGCCUCAUCAAGUCUAUAAAGCAAGGUAUUUAUGGUUUUCUUGUGCAUUUAAUAGGUAACAAGAGUAAUGUAUAAUGAUGCUAUUACACUGACUUAACAUAGACUGUUUCUUAAGGUAUUCUGUUGUUAAUUUUACUACUUUCAUUUUCUCCAUGUGUGAUUGAUUUUGCAUUCAUUGUUUCAUAAUAUAUAUCCAUCUUCAGUGAAGCAUUCCGAAAGCAGAAGAAAGCAAGCACUUAGGGAAUAUUCACAUUAAAGAAGUCAUGUAACUCAAAAGAUGAAAAAUGCCAUGUAUCUCCUCUCCAAUAUGGUAAUUAACAGCUGAAAGUCAACUCUGGAUCAUCUGUAUAGUGGGGCAGUAAAAGGCAUAUAAAAUCAUAAAUAAACUCAGACUGGUUUUUGUUUUGGAAUGGUUCCUGUACUUCCAUAUGAAUAAGAGAGUGACUCACCCCCUUGGGAAUUCACAGUACAUCAAACCAAAUUAGGAAGCCAGGCAGCUGUGACCUGGUUUUGUAAGGGCCAAGAAAACUACAGAGUUUCACUACUGAACCUAGUAACUCAAAAUGAUUCCCUGGUUCCCAUGCCAUUUGAUACAUGGGUGUACCUUACUGAGUCAUAUAAAAUGCCACUCUGGGCUUGUGUUUUCUCUUACCUUACCCAGAGUUGUAUGUGAGGAAAUAAAGGCUUGAGAGAUCUUGAGGUGGCAGUUUACAGGAGGGUAAAAGGAAACAGGAGUUAGAAUAAACAAUGUUAGUAACAACUUGGAUGCAAGAUUGACCUUAUGCAAUCUCUAAGGUACAUUGAAUUGAAGGAGGGAGAGAGUUCUAAACUGCUUGUUCUCAGUCUGCUCCACCUCCUGAAUAUAUCUGUCCAUCUAAGAAAAGGAUUAAAUUCAAGAUAACCCUUGUCAUCUGCAUGCUGCCACAUGGUUAGGAUGAAGACUGACACACGAGACAAGUGAUGAUAAGUUGGAAAUAGCCUGUUAUCCAAGAAACGACAGUUAUUUUCUUAUUUUAUACUCAAAGAAGUGUGGGACUAAACCAAAAUAUUGUCGUCUACACUCACUGACUUUAAUAGGCGAUCCUCCUCGGGGCCUGACCACCCCCAAGCUCUUUCUGUCUUACCCUCUAUUAUUCUUUCAACAAAGCUUGAAAAUGAAUAAGGAACUUUGCUGGCACCUCCCAAGAGAAAAAGAAUUCACCAGUGGCCACUACCAACACCACAUUGUUUAUCAGAACAUAAAGUUCGGUUGAAAUCCCGCAGUGACGUCAUCCCCCAGCACUUACUGAUGAAGCUAGGGACAAUUCCAAGACAUUUUCAAUGGGAUUGGAUACUCUGCGCAGGAAAUGGUCAACCAGCUUGUACUUCAAAGACUUUUCCUCUACUUAGGUUGUGCUUAGCUCUUAAAAGAAGUGGAAAGGAACCUAAAUCACAGACUCAGGCUAAGUUGAUUCUUAAAAAGAUUCCAAGAGAACUUCAUAUGCUGUGGUUAUUUUUCUGUGGGUUGAUAACUUGAUGUAAUUACUGGCAUUUAGGUGACUCUUUUUCUGAAACAUCGUUAGACUCAUGGAGACUUUGCUCUAGGAAUGGAAAAACAUUCAGUAUCAUAUGGGUGACACAAAAAUAGUCCAGAGAGACUGGUCUUUUAGGAGGUGGAGCUGCAAAUGGUUUGAAAAGCAAAUUGCCCACAUUGAUGGGGAGGGUCAUGUAUACCUAGGUGUUGAAAACUAGGAUCAAAGGAAUAACUUCUCAAAAGACUAAGAGAUCAGAAAUUUAGGAUACAUGUAUUUAGAUGGAAAAAGAAGCAUGGAGAGGACUUGACAUGCUAUAUGCCAGCCUAGGUGUUAAAUAUUUAAACUUUUUCUCAUUCUAUAAUCUAUGUGUUCUCUAUUCUAAUUGGAAAUGAUAUGAAGCAGAUAUAGGCACAUUUUCUAUUUAUAGAAAUGCAUUAUGAUCUUGAAUUCUGUUUUGCCAAUGAAAUUUUUGGAUGACACGACAAAUAUUCUUAUAAAAUUAUUAAAGAAAAUGACUAAGCUAAAAUUAGUGAAGGCUCAUGAUCACUUUUUAAAAAAUCUGAAUGUUUCAACAUUAUCUAGGAUACUUAAGACAAGAAUAUAACCUUUUAGGGUCAGGAGACCUAGGUUUAAGUUUGGUUUUCUUAUUUAUAAAAUAAGGAUAGCAAUAUUUACUUUAAAGAUUUCUUGUGAAGGCUAAAUGAGCUAAUUUUAAAGAGUUCUCUAAACAGUAGUGGUAGUAAUGAUAAUAAUAAUAAAAACAACAGAUGAGGCAGAGUUUCUUCAGUGCUUACAAUGUGAGGGGCACUGUUCUGUCCUGUAUUAACUCCUUUAAUUUUCGCAACUCCUUCGUGGAUCAGAUACUAUCCUAACAACCCUUUAACAUAUAAAGUCAAUCAUAGAAAGGUUAAAUAAUUUUCUCAAAGUCAUUUGGUUAGUAAAUGGCAGGAUCAGAAUUUAAACUCUCCUCUAUUUUGUGCUGCUUCUGCCCAUGCAGUUCAUACUGAAACACUAGGAAAAAGAAAAUAUAGUAUGCUUUGCCUAAAGACCACCUAUGUAAUAAAUAUGACACAAGUAUUCUAAUAAGGAUUAUGUAGUCAUAGUAGGGAUGUACUACUGUCAUGUUGAGAGAAAAUCUAUAUGUGAUUGUAGGGACUAAUAGAGCAAUUCACAGUGAGGACAUGAUUAAGUGUAGAAAUUUUUCAUAACAUUUUAUUGGGUGGCAGUAUCUUAAAUAUUUCUUUUUUCUUAGCAAAGUUCUUCAAGAAGUCAUAAUAAGCCACAGAGUCACAUUGGUAACAUCUGGAAGACUGGUUCCCUAGGUAAGCCUCCUAAAAGGCCUCUUGUUACGUCAAAACGAAUAAAGGGUUCAUUAUCUGCUGCCCUUAUUUUUCCAUUGAAACUGAAAACUUUCAAAAAAGGAGGCGUUCGGUAGCACAAGUGGAAAGAUUGGCUUGGAUUGUUCUCUCUGCCUAUUAUAGCCAGAGGAGUUCUUUUGUUUUGAGAAGACAUUUAUGAUUCUUUCCACAAGCUGAACACACAUUUACCCGGGAGAGUAACUCCCAUACUCAGUUGAACUGAAAAAGUGAUAUAAUAAUAUUUUGAUACUUUCAUAUUUCCCUUUAUUAGGAAUAACAAUUUGGGGAGUUUUUAAAAUGAAUACAUAAGGCAGUUAGCUUUAAAAUUUUCCCAUAAUACCGCAGAGGAAAUAAACACAACACAAAACAAUUCCCAUGUGAAAACAUACUAGCCAACUUAUAGUGAUAAUCUGAUUGGAAACACUUUGUUCAUUAUAAAAUGUUAGAUACUAUAUUUCAAACAUGAGAGAAAUCUGAUAGUAAUCCCUGUCCACACAUAAAUGGAAUGCCUUAAAAUGCCAUAAGAUAUUGUAUUUCCACCUUAAACACCUGUGUGGCAUAAGUCAUCCACAGGAGCUAUCUUUUAUAAUAAAAAAGUAAACUUGCUUUAAAUAAAAUUGAAAUUCCAAAUAUUUUUUAAUUUAUUUAAAAUUUAUUUAUUUAAUUUAUUUAAUGGACUUUCAUCUUACAGGAGGGGAUACGCUGUCUUUUGCAAAUACUUUCACUCUGCUUCAUAGCUGCACAUAUUCUAGUAGUGGUACAGAAACAAAACUGGAAUUCUGGUUUCAGAGUUGACAACAGAUGUGAAAGAUAAAGAAAAUGU